UACGGGGGGGGCAAGCGUUGUUCGGAAUUACUGGGCGUAAAGGGCUCGUAGGUGGCCAACUAAGUCAGACGUGAAAUCCCUCGGCUUAACCGGGGAACUGCGUCUGAUACUGGAUGGCUAGAGUUUGGGAGAGGGAUGCGGAAUUCCAGGUGUAGCGGUGAAAUGCGUAGAUAUCAGGAGGAACACCGAUGGCGAAGGCAGCUCGCUGGGACGGUACUGACGCUGAGGCGCGAAAGCGUGGGGAGCGAACAGG
rnacentral:rRNA from 1 species